UACGUAGGGGGCAAGCGUUAUCCGGAUUUACUGGGUGUAAAGGGAGCGUAGACGGCGAUGCAAGCCAGAUGUGAAAGCCCGCGGCUCAACUGCGGUAGUGCAUUUGGAACUGUAUGGCUGGAGUGCAGGAGAGGCAGGCGGAAUUCCUAGUGUAGCGGUGAAAUGCGUAGAUAUAUGGAAGAACACCAGUGGCGAAAGCGGCUCUCUGGUCUGUAACUGACGCUGAGGUUCGAAAGCGUGGGUAGCAAACAGG
rnacentral:rRNA from 1 species